AUGGUAAAACAGGCGUUUAGGAGCUUCUCCAGGUUUCUGCAGAGCGCAGAGAGAGCAGCUUCUUUACAGCAGGAGGUUUUUGUACCACCACUGAACGAGUUUGUAUCACUGUGGAGCACUUUUGGUGGCGGCACAAAACUCGCAGUUGGACGUGACGCCCCGCCCACCCUCACGGUCCUGCCCCCCUCCAGUGUACAGCUGCAGCAGGAGAAGGUCACACUCGUGUGUCUGGCCAACAAGGGCUUCCCCUCAGACUGGAAGCUGAGCUGGAAGGUAGCUGGUAGCAGCUGGAGCUCGGGGGUGAGCCAGAGCUCCGGGCUUCUGCAGAAGGACGGCCUCUACAGCUGGAGCAGCACCCUGACCCUCCAGAAGGAGGAGUGGCUGAAGAAGACAGUGACCUGUGAGGCCACCAAGGACUCCCAGUCUCCUGUCACACAG